CGACCACUGAGCUAUGUGCAUUUGUUGAAUGCACUCGAUUCGCUCGUGGAUCAAGAGAGGGCGGAGGAUAUAUCCAUACCUAUUUCAUCAAUGACGAACCCUCCUCCGUGCACUGGAGAAGCAUCUUAGGAUCCGGUAAUAGCGACCAUUUCUACAUCGAUGGUGAGCCAUCCUCAGUCCAUUGGAGAAGCAUCUCAGGCACAGACCCCUUCGCGGUACGACCAUAACGUGGAUCCAUUUAAGUAUGUCUUCAAGAAAACUCUUAAGAGUGACAAGGAGAGGAGAGCGAAGACAUUAGGUCCUAGAGCAGCCGAUGAGCCAUCUACAGAGUCGCGUACUGCAUCGAAGAGGCUUGAUUUUGAUGAUCCACCACAAGUUUAAGAUCAUAUAGUGUUAGGUUUGGUCAUAGAAUGACCAAUACAUGUAGAUAUAUUCUACAUUUUUAUUGUAUAUCGAUUUGGACAUGGCAUAUGCCACAUUUUUGUAAUACUUGUA